UACGAAGGGUGCAAGCGUUAAUCAGAAUUACUGGGCGUAAAGCGUGCGUAGGCGGUGAUUUAAGUCUGCUGUGAAAUCCCCGGGCUCAACCUGGGAAUGGCGAUGGAUACUGGCGAGCUAGAGUGUGUCAGAGGAUGGUGGAAUUCCCGGUGUAGCGGUGAAAUGCGUAGAGAUCGGGAGGAACAUCAGUGGCGAAGGCGGCCAUCUGGGACAACACUGACGCUGAAGCACGAAAGCGUGGGGAGCAAACAGG
rnacentral:rRNA from 1 species